GGCCUUUCUAGGAGCCAGCUUGCUUUCAUCUUACUGUUUUGAUUGUGCCUCACAAGGGACAACACUCCGAUUGUCUAGGAGGAGGAAGGUCAGGGACAGAAAAGUAAAAGCCAGGAGCAGCCUGUCCUGUCUGCCUGGGCUGCUGGGGAAUGAUUGUCAGUGAAUCGAGUUGUCUGUGGAGCCCCUGAGCAAAUUCUCCCAGUGGCAGAUCUCGCAAAAGGGGAGGAAGGCCUUCACCGCUGAACCCGAGCUUUGCCAUUUCGAAGUGCUGAGUCACCUCGUCCUCUCAGGGUCAGACACUUUCACGCAGGAAACGUCCUGCAGAGCACCGCAGCGGGAGCACCGAGCUGAUGUGGAAACUCAGAGAGGAUGCCACUGUUUUGAACUAUUUUGAAGGCACAGCCACCAGAGCUUUAGGUGAGUGACUCUAUGCUUAUAGGCCCAAAUGUAUCUUCACCCCCUCUCACUCCCUGCGCUGUACAGUUUCCCAUUACCCAACAUGCACUUCUGUUAGCAGCUGACUCUUUCCUAAACCUAUUCCUCCAGGGACUUACUUAGCUAGACAACCAGCUUUUCAGUUUCUUCCUUAUUUUCCUACCUAACUUUAUUAAAUUAAAUUGUUUAUUUUUUGAGACAGGGUCUCACCUUGUAGCCCUGAAUGACUUGGAAUUUGCUGUGUAGACCAGGUUGGCUUUGAACUCACAAUUCUCCAUCUGCCUCUGUUCCCAAAUGCUGGGAUUAACAGUCUAUGUCACACAUACCUAGUCUUCCUUCCUAGCUUUCUAUUUUCAGGAAAUGUCUCUUGGGACUCAGUCUAUCAAGACAGGGGUGGAAGUGGAGCUGGCCAGUGGAGUGUUGGGACAAAGCUCUGAGUGGAGCCCUCGAGUUUAAAACGGAAUCUUAGAGAGGACGUGUUUACUCCUGCAUUAUAGAGCACGGACGCUCAUGACUCAGUUUGAUUUUCAUACACCGUUCUGCUCAUCACUGCCAAGUGGAGCAAUCCAGGCCUCUCAAAAUGUGCCAUACUACCUUCCAGCUAAAAGCUUUCUGUGGGGCUGGCGAGAUGGCUCAGCGGGUAAGAGCACCCGAUUGCUCUUCCGAAGGUCCAGAGUUCAAAUCCCAG
rnacentral:lncRNA from 1 species